rnacentral:rRNA from 1 species
UACGGGGGGGGCAAGCGUUGUUCGGAAUUACUGGGCGUAAAGGGCUCGUAGGCGGCCUUCUAAGUCGAACGUGAAAUCCCUGGGCUCAACCCAGGAACUGCGUCCGAUACUGGAAGGCUUGAAUCCGGGAGAGGGAUGCGGAAUUCCAGGUGUAGCGGUGAAAUGCGUAGAUAUCUGGAGGAACACCGGUGGCGAAGGCGACAUCCUGGACCGGUAUUGACGCUGAGGCGCGAAAGCCAGGGGAGCAAACGGG